CGAGGAAGGGAGACAAGGAUGAGCUCCGUCCGGCCCGCUCCAAGCUGGAUGAGUUACUGGGACGGGGCUCCACAACCAAAGCCCUGGAGCGGCCGGGCACAGCGGAGCGCAGGGAGUUCAAGCUGGAUGCGAAAUACCAGAAGCAGCCAGAGAAGGACGAGCCAGGGGAUGAGGAGGAUUUUGUCUUUGGCGCGUACCAGCCCUCGGUGGCCUCGGCGCCAGAGGGGCGGCCACCGCGGCGGCAGCCA